rnacentral:rRNA from 1 species
UACGUAGGGUGCGAGCGUUAAUCGGAAUUACUGGGCGUAAAGCGUGCGCAGGCGGUUCGCUGUGUCCGAUGUGAAAGCCCCGGGCUUAACCUGGGAAUGGCAUUGGAAACUGGCGGGCUUGAGUGUGGCAGAGGGGGGUGGAAUUCCGAGUGUAGAGGUGAAAUUCGUAGAUAUUCGGAAGAACACCAGUGGCGAAGGCGGCUCACUGGACUGGUAUUGACGCUGAGGUGCGAAAGCGUGGGGAGCAAACAGG